rnacentral:rRNA from 1 species
AGAGUUUGAUCAUGGCUCAGAGCGAACGCUGGCGGCAGGCCUAACACAUGCAAGUCGAGCGGCCGUAGCAAUACGGCAGCGGCAGACGGGAGAGUAACACGUGGGAACGUGCCCAUCAGUUCGGAACAACCCAGGGAAACUUGGGCUAAUACCGGAUACGCCCUUACGGGGAAAGAUUUAUCGCUGAAGGAUCGGCCCGCGUCUGAUUAGCUAGUUGGUAGGGUAAUGGCCUACCAAGGCGACGAUCAGUAGCUGGUCUGAGAGGAUGAUCAGCCACAUUGGGACUGAGACACGGCCCAAACUCCUACGGGAGGCAGCAGUGGGGAAUAUUGGACAAUGGGCGCAAGCCUGAUCCAGCCAUGCCGCGUGAGUGAUGAAGGCCUUAGGGUUGUAAAGCUCUUUCGUCCGGGACGAUAAUGACGGUACCGGAAGAAGAAGCCCCGGCUAACUUCGUGCCAGCAGCCGCGGUAAUACGAAGGGGGCUAGCGUUGUUCGGAAUC